rnacentral:misc_RNA from 1 species
UAACCACUCAAGCCCUCGGCUUGGUCUUGGGGUUCGCGGUUUCGCGGCCCUUAAAAUCAGUGGCGGUGCCGUCUGGCUCUAAGCGUAGUAAUCCUCUCGCUAUAGGGUCCAGGUAACCACCUGCCAGAACCCCCCAUUCUUUAU